AAGUCGUAACAAGGUCUCCGUAGGUGAACCUGCGGAGGGAUCAUUACCGAGUGAGGGCCUCGCGGCCCGACCUCCAACCCAUUUGCGAUUAACCGUACCGUCUGUUGCCUCGGGGUGGACCCGGCCUCGCGUCGGGACCCCCGAGUGGCGUCCUCAACCAACUCCUGCGUCACUUUGCGUCUGGAGUGAUGAUAUGGAAAUCAAUCAAAACUUUCAACAACGGAUCUCUUGGUUCUGGCAUCGAUGAAGAACGCAGCGAAAUGCGAUAAGUAAUGUGAAUUGCAGAAUUCAGUGAAUCAUCGAAUCUUUGAACGCACAUUGCGCCCUGGCAUUCCGAGGGGCAUGCCCGUUCGAGCGUCAUUACACCACUCAAGCCUGGCUCUGGUAUUGGGCGGCGGGGACCCCCCCCGCGCCUCCAAUGUGUCCGGCUGGACGGUCUGAAUCUCAGCGUUGUGGUACAUCAGAUUCGCUGGCGGAGGACGACCGGACGCGCCGUUAAAACGCUUCAUCACAGGUUGACCUCGGAUCGGGUAGGGAUACCCGCUGAACUUAA
rnacentral:rRNA from 1 species